CGGGUGAGUAAUGCGUGACCAACCUGCCCCAUGCUCCAGAAUAGCUCUUGGAAACGGGUGGUAAUGCUGGAUGCUCCAACUUGACGCAUGUCUUGUUGGGAAAGUGUUUAGUGGCAUGGGAUGGGGUCGCGUCCUAUCAGCUUGUAGGCGGGGUAAUGGCCCACCUAGGCUUCGACGGGUAGCCGGCCUGAGAGGGCGGACGGCCACAUUGGGACUGAGAUACGGCCCAGACUACUACGGGAGGCAGCAGGC
rnacentral:rRNA from 1 species